GAUGAACGCUGGCGGCGUGCUUAACACAUGCAAGUUGAACGAAGCUUAUGGGAUUGACUCCUUCGGGAGGAUAUUUUUUGAGACUUAGUGGCGAACGGGUGAGUAACACGUGAGCAACCAACCCCUGACAGUGGAAUAACAACGGGAAACCGUUGCUAAUACCGCAUAAUAUCCUGGUAUGGCAUCAUAUGGGGAUCAAAGAUUUAUCGGUGAGGGACGGGCUCGCGUCCGAUUAGGUAGUAGGUAAGGUAACGGCUUACCUAGCCUGCGAUCGGUAGCCGGACUGAGAGGUCGAUCGGCCACAUUGGGACUGAGAUACGGCCCAGACUCCUACGGGAGGCAGCAGUGGGGAAUAUUGGGCAAUGGGGGCAACCCUGACCCAGCGACGCCGCGUGAAGGACGAAGGCAUUCGUGUUGUAAACUUCUUUGGAGAGGGACGAAAAUGACGGUACCUUUCGAACA
rnacentral:rRNA from 1 species